AACUUGUACUUUAUUAUUAAAAACAGGUUCCUGUAAUACCUGUGUUAAGCAUGCACACAUUAAGGAACGUGUCAGUAAUCUACAAACCACGACAUCACUGGAACUUCCUUGUAACUACAAUAUUUUUCUCUUUCAGAACAAGUGCUCAGAGCUACUGAAGAGCUGCUUUGACAACGUGGGCCCAGUGCACUGGAGGAAGCUGUUUCCCCGUGGAGCUCCAGCAGUGCUUAGAGGGCUAAAAAACCUUCACCUGACAUCUUAUCAGCAAGGGGAAACCAGAUGUGACAGCGGUACGCACCGUUGUACUCCGAGGCCUCCCUGUUCUACUUGGUUAUGACCCCAGUGACUUCUACAACACCUGCUUCGAUUGUGACACUGAUGAGACCUGGGUAAAAGUAUCUGUCGGGGUGCUGACUGUUCUCCCUGAAGAUCUGCAACUCCUUCCAAAUCAGCUCCACCUUCACCCAAUGUCUACUGCCAUCAUUGUUGAGGGAGGUAUUGUAAUGGAUGAACUCCAGAACCUACCUGAGGCACUUUGACUUUUGUUUGGAAUGUCAUACGCUUUGCAUUUAGACUACCCUAAAGCCAUGAAAAACACUUUCUGCUUCAUUCAAAGAGUGAUGCUUGGCUUGGGAGAGGACAAACUCCCACCAAAAUUACAAAGUCUUAAAAAUCUCUUGUUGAGUUAGAAUGCAAAUGUAGAGUGGAUUCAGUUGUUUUUUAUUGUUCACUAAAUUAACACACUCCACUCAAAUUGUCAGCCCAUGGGUUCAUCAGCAAGUAUAGAGGCUGUACAUGUAUGUAUAUUCAUUCACAUAUAUGUGAGAUCCAUUGCCAGUUAUUACCCUGUCAGGUUUUUGCGCUCAUUGAGUAAAGCCACUUUGCACUUUUUUUUAAUUUUUUAUAUAUAUGUAGUUUUUAUUUAGUGAUUUUUGAGUAACAUUAUUCAGGAAUACAAAAGUGCACUUGUCAGCUUGUGGGUUAUUUCCCAUUGGUGGGAAAGAACUGUUAGUUGUUACAGUUUUAAGGCUGUGUUUACUGUAUUAUUGAUCUUGAUAUUGAUAUUGAUCUGUGUUUGUGGAUGUCCUUCAAGGCAAUCUUUAAGAAAAA